UGGUGUCAAAUGCAGCACUGAGAGCCAGUAGGACGAGUCCACUGUCUGAUGCUUUGACCAGUUGAAGUUCCUUCCUCUGACGAACCAGUUGUGACUGGGAACCAUUUGGGAUUCCACUCACUGCUGAGCUGUGAAAACAAGUCUCCACUUCCUGCUGCCCCAUCGCGUUGUUGCCACGCUAGCGUCGUCACGCCAGCCCCGCUGCAUGAUGGGAGACUCAGUGAAGGUGAAGGUCAGGAACAGAAGAGCAGUCGGACGUCAUCAUGUCCCAGAGGCAGCAGCAGCACAGAGCGGCUGAACAGGCCG